CUACUAUGUUCAUAGAUCAGAUGAAGCCGAAAAGGAAAAUAAAAAAAGAAUAAAAAAAUUUUUAGAGGAUUACAAAGCUCUCAAGCCCACAAGGUAUACUUACGCUGAUAUUAAGAAAGAGAAUUACCAAUCAGUUCAAGGACCUGCUGGGUCAAGGAGCUUAUGGAACUGUAUACAAAGGAAAGUUAUCCAAUGAAAUUCUAGUGGCUGUUAAGGUGCUCAAUAAUUCCAUAGGAAAUGGGGA
rnacentral:misc_RNA from 1 species